AGACGUAGGGGGCAAGCGUUGUCCGGAAUUACUGGGCGUAAAGGGUGCGUAGGCGGCAAUGCAAGUCUGAUGUGAAAUCCCCGUGCUCAACAUGGGGUUUGCAUUAGAAACUGUAUAGCUAGAGUACAGGAGAGGUAAGUGGAAUUCCUAGUGUAGCGGUGAAAUGCAUAGAUAUUAGGAGGAACACCAGUGGCGAAGGCGACUUACUGGACUGUAACUGACGCUGAUGCACGAAAGCGUGGGGAGCAAACAGGAUUAGAUACCCUGGUAGUCCACGCCGUAAACGAUGGAUACUAGGUGUAGGGCCGUCAAGGUUCUGUGCCGUAGUAAACGCAAUAAGUAUCCCGCCUGGGGAGUACGACCGCAAGGUUGAA
rnacentral:rRNA from 1 species